CCGACUUUAGCUCAGUUGGAAGAGCGUCAGACUGUAAAGGAUAUCUGUCAUCUGAAUGUCGCCUGUUCGAACCAGGCAAGUCGGA